GAAGGCUAUAGCCGGAGCCACGAAAAAGUUCGGAAACAAAUUGCUUGGUAAAGAGAAAGAUGUUUUUGAAAUGUCUCUUUUUAAUAUGUACUUCUUUCUUAUUUCUAGCAUUUCUAACAUUUUCCCCCUUUUUCUAUACAUUCUGUGUUUAUACCCCUCAAUAUUUGCACAAUCUACUUUGGGGCUUCUCCUCUCUAAAUUGUAAGGGAGUUAAAGAGAAAAAUAUCCUCUUUGUUGGGUCUGUACAAUCUGGUCAGAAUGUGCUGAAAACCAAAGAGUUUUCUGACCUACUUAAUAUCCAAGAAUGGACUUGAUUGACUUUGUCACUGAAAUGACGGCAGAUUUUGAACUUGUAGACGUAGGCCUUGCAAAGCAUGGAAAUAAUUCCGGACAGACAUAGACUGUUCUGCUACCAAGGUGCUGCUGUUGAACUACCCCUCACAGCACAGCCCACAGAGCAUGACUGAGUGAAGAGGAACAUUUGGAAAGUUUAUCAUAUUUGUUGGAAUCACCAAGAAAUUAAAGCUAGGAAGGGUAGAGGUUUUUAUUUUUAUACUUUUAAGCUCAGGGGUACAUGUAUAGGUUUGUUACAUAGGUAAACAUGUGUCAUGGGGGUUUGCUAUACACACUAUUUCAUUACCCAGGUAUUAAGCCUAAUAUCCAUUAGUUAUUUUUCUUAAGCCUCUCCCUCCUCCCCACCCACUAUCCUCUAAUAGACUCCAGUGUGUGUUGUUCCUCUCUAUGUGUCCAUGUGUUCUGAUCAUUUAACUCCAACUUGUAAGUGAGAACAUGUGGUGUUUGGUUUUCUAUUCCUGCCUCAGUUUGCUAAGGAAAAUGGCCUCCAGCUCCAUCCAUGUUCCUGCAAAAGGCAUGAUCUCAUUCUUUUUUAUGGCUGCAUAGUACUCCAUGGUGUAUAUGUACAACAUUUUGUUUAUCCAGUGUAUCACUGAUGGGCUUUUAUGCUGACUCCAUGUCUCUGCUAUUAUGAAUAGUGCUGCAAUCAACAUAUGCAUGCAUGUGUCUUUAUAAUAGAAUGAUUUAUAUUCCUUGGGGUAUAUACCCAGUAAUGGGAUUGUUGGGUCAAAUGGUACUUCUGUUUUUAGGUCUUUGAGGAAUCGCCACACUGCCUUCCACAUGGAAAGGACACAAAUGGUUGAACUGAUUUACACUCCCACCAACUGUGUAUAAGUGUGCCUUUUUCUCCACAACCAGCUUUGUUAACAGCGUGAAGACUAGAAGAAAAAGAAUGGAAGAAAGAAGUGAAAGAGAAACAAAUAGGGAAGGGGAUCCCUCGGAUGACUGGGAAGGAAAGGAAAACCAGAAAAAGCAGUCAGGAUGAAUGCCUGACAAAAAACUCUGCUGCAGUGACACUUUGACAUGAAGCAGAUUCAAACUUUCUAUGACUGAACAGGACAUUUUCCAUUUAUUGCUCCUUUGAUACCCAAGCUCCUCAAUGGGGGUAUUCUUCAAUGAGACACUUUUACCAGUGACCAUAUUCUUGCUUGUUGGUUUCUUUUUUUUUUAAAGUAUGUUGCUGCUGUACUUUUAAGAAAGUUGUGUUUUAUCUUAGUACUUUGAUAUUCAUAAAUGGUAUAAAGCAUAAUUUUACCACAUAGCUUUAAUGGAAUACUUUUUACAAACAAAAUAAAACUUGACCUUCUUCCACCCUAUCUCCACAUCGGAACUAAUUUUACUACAUUUUAUUUUUCAAAAACUAUUAAUUCAGUCAAUGAAUAUUGACUUUGGACUACAUUGGGUCAUUUUCAAUGGAUUGCUCUGGUACAGCUUUACUUUGUCAUGUCCUUUGUUCUUGCUCUUUCUUGUCUACCUACCAGUUAAAAUAUGAAACUCAUGAAGCAUUUAGCUCCCUGGAUAGUGAUUCCUGUAUCAGGGUGAAUCAUGCAAACUUUCAUAUUGUCUAAACUAUAAUUCAGAAAUAUAAUGUGGCUUAAAUGGGAACUUGGGGCUAAUGUUUAACAAGUGUGCACCAUACUUUAUCAGUUCUCUAAGAUUUAUUUUCUACAAACAAAAUUUUUUAUGUAACGGGCUACCUUUAAGUGGUAAUCCUAAAGGCCCUUUCUGACUUGUUCAUUAACUUUUUCAAGUCUUCAGGCCACUGAGUUAUCUGGUGCACAGAGUAAUACCAAAUCAUGUCUGAGAAAGGUUCCAUGAUUCCCAAAGUGCCUGAUUUUCCACGUCUUCCUGUAAGAAGUAGUAAUAGAUAUGCUAAAUGACUGGGGAAAUAAGAAUUAAGCCUACGGCUACUUUAAACUUUCCUAUGGAAAGAUUUUAAUGA
rnacentral:lncRNA from 10 species